UACGGAGGGUGCGAGCGUUGUCCGGAAUCACUGGGCGUAAAGGGCGCGUAGGCGGCGCGGGAAGACCGUGGUGAAAGCCCGAGGCUCAACUUCGGGUCGGCCAUGGAUACUCCUGGGCUCGAGCACUGUAGAGGCAGGUGGAAUUCCGGGUGUAGCGGUGGAAUGCGUAGAGAUCCGGAAGAACACCGGUGGCGAAGGCGGCCUGCUGGGCAGUAGCUGACGCUGAGGCGCGACAGCGUGGGGAGCAAACAGG
rnacentral:rRNA from 1 species